CAGAAACCAUGCGCAGAGUGUCAGCUGUGCGCUCCAAGAGGAAAGAAAGAGACGUGGCUAAGACGAGCAGCAAACCCAAACACUCAGCAGCAGGUCUGCCCCGGAUUCCAGCACUGGAGCCAGGCAUCAGAACACGGAGGAUCCCGGCAUUUGUCAAAGCAGUGCGGAGAGCCAAGGCUAAAGCCGCAAAAGCUAAAGAGGCGGAGCCAAAGGAGGAGACCACACCCCCACAGGACGGUGCCCCCUGCAGGCCGGCCCCCGUGUAUUGCCCCGCCCCCCCGGGCUGGUACGUUCAUCACGUCGUCACUGACAACCCCUACCCCCCUCCCACCCUCUCAGCUCCCUCGGCUCCCAUCCUCACGGCACACCCCUUCCCCCCUCUCUACCCCCCACCCCUCUACCAGCCCUAUGCUCCAGCGCCCAAUGCGCCCCCCGCAGGACAGACUGAAGAACAGCCUUUGACUGCACCCCCGUCAGGAGAGCAGGCUCCUCUACAUCCUCCUGCUCCAGUCACAGCACAGACAGCUACAGGAGAACAGGCUGCUCCUGCACCUCCAGCGCGUGCGCCCCCUACAGGAGAAGCAGGAGAGGCCGAGGGACAGACAGUGCUCCCUACAGAAGAGGCUCAGGCAGGGGAACCUGAAGAGGAGCCUGCAGACCAAACUCUGGUCCAAGACGAUAAAGAAGAGGAAAAAGAGGAAGAGGAGACUCCCAAACCCAAAGAAAAGAAGAAACCAGAGAAAAAUUCUGCAGCUGAGAAACAGAAGAAAAAGAAGAGAUCUGCAGCGGAGAAAGGUUUAAAAUGUCA
ensembl:lncRNA